GCGAGCACGCGAACGCGCUUCCAUCCACCACAUGGUGGGACCUACUUUUUUCCCCCCUUUGUCUUCCAUGUUCCUCCCAUUCAUCCCCAGCUCCCGCAUCCAUUUCUUCCCUCUCCGUUCCGCGAGCUCCCGUUUCCAAAUCCAUGGCGACUCGAGUGCUCUAAUUGCUAAGUAGCGAGAUGGCUCCUGACAAGGUCUCUCCUCCCUCUUUUUAGUAAACCUUGCACACAUAUUGCACACAUGUUAGUUAGUUGGUGCAUGUUUAUCUGCAUGUUAGUCCGUUCAGAUUUGCAUGCGCACGAGCUCCAACCUGUGGCAGCCGUGCGCGUAGGAGGGCGUUGCGAGAAUAGCUCGCACGACCCUGAAACGACCGGUGUUUCAGCGCCAUCGUGAGCGUGGGGAUGAACGCGUUCAAAGCGCGAUGUGCGGCCGAUCACACUGCAAGUGGCGGGCCGCGCUUCGCCGGUGAGCGCCGACCUCCACGGGCUGGCGAGCUUCCAAAGGGAGGCAGCGGAUCCCAGCACCACUAAUCUGCGCGGUUUGUUUUUCUCCUUCUAUUUUUUACUUCCCUAGGCUUGUCCUUCCUCCUCCUCUGAGUUCGCAGAUCCAACGUGCGACGCGGUGGCCGGCGGGAGCACGGGCACCGGGGUGCUGGCACGAGCUCGGUGUUCAGUAGACUGCAGGGUUGGGUCUGGUGCUCCCUGAUGUCUGGAAGAAGCUCUACCUUGCUGGACCAUUGAUCGAAGCAUUGAUGCUGCAGAAAAUUGUCCAGAUGAUUUAUGUCAUGUUCAUUUGUCACCUUGGUGAAUUUUCCCUCUCCAAUGCCUCCAUCUCCCGUCAUCAUCAGACUACAUAUUCAGAAUUCAUUAGGCAAUAAUUUGGCUUGAUUAGGCAGUUAUGUGGCUCAUAAUUAGGCAAUAAUGUGGUUCUGGAAACGGAAAAUAGAGUAGUUCAUUAGGCAAUGUUAAACAUCUAAUUUUCAAUAUGUCAUAGAGAAAUAAAAGUAUUUCUACUAGAUUUUAAAGCAAAAUCUUCAUACUAUAGAUCUAUAAGAAAGUUCUUCAGAACUAUUGUUAGUUUUUUUAGAAUGAUCUGAUCUAUUUUUAUAGACAAAUAGCAGCAUUCCUCCUUUUUUUCUCUCUGUGGAGGUGCAGCAGGACCUUUAGUUUCUUUUUCUAUAUCCACCAUACAGCUAGCGUACCAUGCCCAGUAGAAACUGCAGCUAAUAUUGCACAUUGAUAUCAGCCCUUUCAAGGCUAUUUUAGAGGUCAUAUUCUCACAUUCUUGUACAGUAACAAAGUAGUUUAACAAUACUCAAAUGAUAUUUAAGUAGUACUGAGCUAGCAAUUUAAUAAUAUUCAGUAGACAAUUUUCAAAAUGUUCAGCCCAUGCAUUUAAAGAAUGCUUAGCUAAAAUGUUUGCUAUUAUUCCAAAGAGAAGCACAAGCCACAAUAAAUAAACACACAUCUUUUUACCUACUCAACUGAACAACUGUGGUUCUUGACUCAAAUGAAGCACUUGUAUUGUUUAUAAUUUGAUCUGUGCACGUGCGCACAAUGUUAUGGUAGAUGUGCUUCUAUUAUUUCCUCUUAGUGAAUGAGGUUGUCAAAUGAUUCGUGAAUUUCAUAAGGACUAACCAUGGCUAACAUUACUCUUUAAGAAGCUGCAGUAGGACUCCAUUCACUCUUAGAUUUAAAAGGCGGUAUUUCUUUGCUUGUCUGUGCUCAAGCUUCAAGAAAAAAACUAUUUUUGCAUGCUGGAUAUGAAUAAGAUCGUCAAUGAAGCGACAACCAGAACAAGUGGAUCUUCAUAUUAUGCGGACAGUCCUCCUGCACCUGCUCGCCGCUCUGAGGGAAUCAAUAGCUUAAUUCCGUACCGGAAAUUGAGGAGGAUCUCAACCGACUUAAAGGGUGGACUUCGUGUACACCACUUGUGAAGCCGGUAAGAGGAGGACGGUGAACCACGCGCGCGCUCGCUCGCCGAGCCGGGCCGGGGCCGUGGCGAGGCCGGCCGGACCGGCGGUGCGGUGCGCGUGCACUCACCUUGAUCCAGGUACUCCUCUUCAGGAGACCUCUCCCUUCCUCCCUCAGCUGCUUUUCUGCCAUUCCCAAGGUCCUGCACGGGACGCGGGCAAUCAGGUUUUUGGGGGACCUGCAUCGACAUAGUUCGGCUACUUCGAGCAAGGCCAGUCGAAUAGCAUGUCUAUUCCAGCUGGUAACGGCGCAACCGGUGCCCCCGGCACUGGUCCCGCCCUGGGGCUCACACAAACCUGAUGAUUGGGUCAGUCCAUACUUUUCGUGGUGCUAAAUGUGGAGGCAUGAAGACUUUAUUUUUCGUGAAUGUUUAGAUAGGUUAAAGUGCCUUUGUAUAGGUUCUAAUUUGCUUACAAUUUUUCAAAACUUUGCUUAUUAGGUCCCAAAAGUUGCUUUUUGUUUGGAACUGUUGAGUUAAUUAUCAGUAUCAAUAAGGUAGAAACGUCUAUGAAGCAAGCAAAUUAGGAGA